GCCAGACUCCUACGGGAGGCAGCAGUGAGGAAUAUUGGUCAAUGGCCGGAAGGCUGAACCAGCCAAGCCGCGUGAAGGACGAAGGUGCCAAGCAUUGUAAACUUCUUUUGUCAAGGGACAAAAUCAGGCUCGAGAGCCUGACCGAGGGUACUUGAAGAAAAAGCAUCGGCUAACUCCGUGCCAGCAGCCGCGGUAAUACGGAGGAUGCGAGCGUUAUCCGGAUUUAUUGGGUUUAAAGGGUGCGCAGGCGGAAUGUCAAGUCAGCGGUAAAAUUUCGGGGCUCAACCCCGUCGUGCCGUUGAAACUGGUUUUCUUGAGUGAGCGAGAAGUAUGCGGAAUGCGUGGUGUAGCGGUGAAAUGCAUAGAUAUCACGCAGAACUCCGAUUGCGAAGGCAGCAUACCGGCGCUCAACUGACGCUCAUGCACGAAAGUGUGGGUAUCGAACAGGAUUAGAUACCCCAGUACA
rnacentral:rRNA from 1 species